GACGAACCGUGCGAACGUUGUUCGGAAUCAUUGGGCGUAAAGGGUGCGUAGGCGGAGGUUCAGGUCCCAGGUGAAAUCCCACGGCUCAACCGUGGACGUGCCUUGGAAACCGGAUCUCUGGAGGGAGGUAGGGGCACGCGGAACUUCCGGUGGAGCGGUGAAAUGCGUAGAGAUCGGAAGGAACACCGAUGGCGAAAGCAGCGUGCUGGACCUCAUCUGACGCUGAGGCACGAAAGCUAGGGUAGCAAACGGG
rnacentral:misc_RNA from 1 species